GUAUUGGCAUCAUGGCCGCACGAAAGAUUUAUCGCUGUGGGAUGGGGAUGCGUCUGAUUAGCUUGUCGGCGGGGUAACGGCCCACCGAGGCGACGAUCAGUAGGGGUUCUGAGAGGAAGGUCCCCCACAUUGGUACUGAGACACGGACCAAACUCCUACGGGAGACAGCAGUGAGGAAUAUUGGUCAAUGGCCGGAAGGCUGAACCAGCCAAGUAGCGUGCAGGACGACGGCCCUACGGGUUGUAAACUGCUUUUAUAGGGGAAUAAAGUGUGGUACGUGUACCGUUUUGUAUGUACCCUAUGAAUAAGGACCGGCUAAUUCCGUGCCAGCAGCCGCGGUAAUACGGAAGGUCCGGGCGUUAUCCGGAUUUAUUGGGUUUAAAGGGAGCGCAGGCGGGACCUUAAGCGUGUUGUGAAAUGUACCGGCUCAACCGGUGAUGUGCAGCGCGAACUGGGGUUCUUGAGUGGGUACGACGUCGGCGGAAUUCGUGGUGUAGCGGUGAAAUGCUUAGAUAUCACGAGGAACCCCGAUUGCGAAGGCAGCCGACGAGUCCCUUACUGACGCUAAUGCUCGAAAGUG
rnacentral:rRNA from 1 species